GCUUGCCGAGGAGGAAGGGGCGGGGCAGAGCCUAGGACGGAGAGAGGUGGGGCGCUGUGGGAAAUUUGGGGCAGCAGAGUUUUGGAGCGCCCCACUAAGUGCAGGCAGCCUCGAGCUGCUGCCCGCAUUAGAGUCUCGUUUCUGUCGUUUUGGCUGACGUGCACCUUGCCGUGGGGCUCUCACAUUUGGCCAUAGGGCUCUUCCCUGCUGACCCAGCUAUGCUCAGCAUUAGACUUUGAUCCUCAGAUAAUAUCCAGGAUGUGUAUAGUGAAGUAUGCGAUUGGUUUAAAAGUCCCAAACAUAAGCAAACUAAUAAUGUUAGCUUUAAGUUUCAGAAUUAAUAGGGCAACUAUACAUGUUGAUUAUUGGGUUGGUUUUCUUUAAAGUUUUAAAUUUGGAUAACAUGUUACUGCUUGUGAGAUUUUUUAAAACAAAUGCAUUCUUAAAAUAACUGUUAUGAGAAAAUAUGCUAAUGUUUAAAAUACUUAGAAAAUUGUUGCACUUUGCUACUGUGCAAUUGUCACGAUGAAACACGAAGACACCAGAAUUGUACCUCAUGAUAAGACUUUAAUUGUGAGAGGCUUCUGCAAAUACAGUAAUUCUAAAUAUAGAUAUAUUUAUUUCAAGUUAAUUCUCUUUGCAGAGUGGCCUAUAGGUAUUUGUCUUCAGGUGAAACAGGAACAAAUGUAGGUCUACUGGGUUCUUGGCACAGUACCAUAUGGACCUGGACAAAGCAUUGUUAAGAUUGUAGCCAACAUGAAGAUUGUCAAAAUUCAUGGAAGCCCAACAGAUGACAUACCUGGGCUUUACUCUCUUGCGAAUGAACAAUUAAAACUUUGGGCUUCAGUUUUCAUCAUCUAUAAUACAAAGGUAAUAUUCCC